UACGUAGGGUGCGAGCGUUGUCCGGAAUUAUUGGGCGUAAAGAGCUCGUAGGCGGUCUGUCGCGUCGGUCGUGAAAACUUGGGGCUUAACCCUGAGCUUGCGGUCGAUACGGGCAUGACUGGAGUUCGGUAGGGGAGACUGGAAUUCCUGGUGUAGCGGUGAAAUGCGCAGAUAUCAGGAGGAACACCGGUGGCGAAGGCGGGUCUCUGGGCCAGAUCCGACACUCAUCCGCGAAAGCGUGGGGAGCAAACAGG
rnacentral:rRNA from 1 species